AUUGAACGCUGGCGGCAGGCCUAACACAUGCAAGUCGAACGAGAGGCGGACGGGUGAGUAGUGUCUGGAAAAGUGCCUGAUGGAGGGGUAUGACUACGAGAACAGGUAGCUAAUACCGCAAAACCUGAGAUGUGCCCAGAUGGGAUUAGCUUGUUGGUGGGGAAACGGCUCACAAAGGCGACGAUCCCUAGCAGGUCUGAGAGGAUGACCAGCCACACUGGAACUGAGACACGGUCCAGACUCCUACGGGAGGCAGCAGUGGGGAAUAUUGCACAAUGGGCGAAAGCCUGAUGGAGCCAUGCCGCGUGUAUGAAGAAGGCCUUCGGGUUGUAAAGUACUUUCAGCAGGGAGGCGUUACCCACAGAAGAAGCAACGGCUAACUCCGUGCCAGCAGCCGCGGUAAUAC
rnacentral:rRNA from 1 species